rnacentral:rRNA from 1 species
GACGAACGCUGGCGGCGUGCUUAACACAUGCAAGUCGAGCGGUAAGGCCCUUUCGGGGGUACACGAGCGGCGAACGGGUGAGUAACACGUGGGUGACCUGCCCUCAGCUCUGGGAUAAGCCUGGGAAACUGGGUCUAAUACUGGAUAUGACUCCACGGUGCAUGUCGUGGGGUGGAAAGCCUUGUGCGGCUGAGGAUGGGCCCGCGGCCUACCAGCUUG